CAUAACUACUGGAGCUGCUCUUAGGUGCUCGGUUCGAACUACCAGAGUAGGCUUCUUGAAGUAAUAGAUUCGAGUGAGUUGCCAGAAUUCCUUGGUGGUUCAUGCACAUGUAGUGACAAGGGUGGUUGCCUUGGAUCGAACAAAGGGCCAUGGAAUGAUCCUUAUAUAUUGAAGCUGAUCCACAAUUUGGAAGUUGGAUGUAUGAGGGAAACCACCAAACCUAUUUAUGAGGGUGGAGAA